AGGGUUCGAUUCUGGCUCAGGAUGAACGCUGGCGGCGUGCUUAACACAUGCAAGUCGAACGGGAUCCCAGGAGCUUGCUCCUGGGUGAGAGUGGCGAACGGGUGAGUAAUGCGUGACCGACCUGCCCCAUACACCGGAAUAGCUCCUGGAAACGGGUGGUAAUGCCGGAUGCUCCAGUUGACCGCAUGGUCCUCUGGGAAAGAUUCAUCGGUAUGGGAUGGGGUCGCGUCCUAUCAGCUUGAUGGCGGGGUAACGGCCCACCAUGGCUUCGACGGGUAGCCGGCCUGAGAGGGCGACCGGCCACAUUGGGACUGAGAUACGGCCCAGACUCCUACGGGAGGCAGCAGUGGGGAAUAUUGCACAAUGGGCGCAAGCCUGAUGCAGCGACGCCGCGUGCGGGAUGACGGCCUUCGGGUUGUAAACCGCUUUUGACUGGGAGCAAGCCCUUCGGGGUGAGUGUACCUUUCGAAUAAGCACCGGCUAACUACGUGCCAGCAGCCGCGGUAAUACGUAGGGUGCAAGCGUUAUCCGGAAUUAUUGGGCGUAAAGGGCUCGUAGGCGGUUCGUCGCGUCCGGUGUGAAAGUCCAUCGCUUAACGGUGGAUCCGCGCCGGGUACGGGCGGGCUUGAGUGCGGUAGGGGAGACUGGAAUUCCCGGUGUAACGGUGGAAUGUGUAGAUAUCGGGAAGAACACCAAUGGCGAAGGCAGGUCUCUGGGCCGUCACUGACGCUGAGGAGCGAAAGCGUGGGGAGCGAACAGGAUUAGAUACCCUGGUAGUCCACGCCGUAAACGAUGAGUGCUAGGUGUCGGAGGGGAACCUUCGGUGCCGCAGCAAACGCAAUAAGCACUCCACCUGGGGAGUACGAUCGCAAGAUUGAAACUCAAAGGAAUUGACGGGGGCCCGCACAAGCGGUGGAGCAUGUGGUUUAAUUCGAAGCAACGCGAAGAACCUUACCAAGUCUUGACAUCCUUCUGACCGGUACUUAACCGUACCUUCUCUUCGGAGCAGGAGUGACAGGUGGUGCAUGGUUGUCGUCAGCUCGUGUCGUGAGAUGUUGGGUUAAGUCC
rnacentral:rRNA from 1 species